rnacentral:RNase_P_RNA from 2 species
GAUGGAAGGUGAUCGAGGUUUAAAAACUUUAUUGUUUUUUUAAACUUAGGAAAGUCCAUGUUAGCACAUGCUGCGAUUGCAUGUAGUGUUUGUGUCUAAGGAAUAAAUAACUUAGAGUGCUUUCGCAAGAAAACAACGGCGUUUUCGGUUUCUAAGGGUCUAUUUUAUGUAAAUCUAUGAAACGAAAACUUAAAAGUGUCACAGAGACGAGCUAAUUAGAAAUAAUUAGGUGAAACGCGAUAAACCCCUCAAGCUAACAACCCAAAAUAAUGGUAGGGGCAUGUAAUUCAACAAAAUGAAGUUAGGAUUACAUUACUUUUUUAGUAGAAGAUAAAUGAUCACGCUUGUUUUUUAACAAGAACAAAACAUGGCUUAUGCAC